rnacentral:rRNA from 1 species
GACGAACGCUGGCGGCGUGCUUAACACAUGCAAGUCGAACGGAAAGGCCCUGCUUUUGUGGGGUGCUCGAGUGGCGGACGGGUGAGUAACACGUGAGUAACCUGCCCUUGACUUUGGGAUAACUUCAGGAAACUGGGGCUAAUACCGGAUAGGAGCUCCUGCUGCAUGGUGGGGGUUGGAAAGUUUCGGCGGUUGGGGAUGGACUCGCGGCUUAUCAGCUUGUUGGUGGGGUAGUGGCUUACCAAGGCUUUGACGGGUAGCCGGCCUGAGAGGGUGACCGGCCACAUUGGGACUGAGAUACGGCCCAGACUCCUACGGGAGGCAGCAGUGGGGAAUAUUGCACAAUGGGCGGAAGCCCGAUGCAGCAACGCCGCGUGCGGGAUGACGGCCUUCGGGUUGUAAACCGCUUUCGCCUGUGACGAAGCGUGAGUGACGGUAAUGGGUAAAGAAGCACCGGCUAACUACGUG